rnacentral:rRNA from 1 species
ACUCAAAGGAAUUGACGGGGACCCGCACAAGCGGUGGAGCAUGUGGUUUAAUUCGAAGCAACGCGAAGAACCUUACCAAGUCUUGACAUCCUCUUGACCGGCGUGUAACGGCGCCUUCCCUUCGGGGCAAGAGAGACAGGUGGUGCAUGGUUGUCGUCAGCUCGUGUCGUGAGAUGUUGGGUUAAGUCCCGCAACGAGCGCAACCCUUAUCCUUAGUAGCCAGCAGGUAAAGCUGGGCACUCUAGGGAGACUGCCAGGGAUAACCUGGAGGAAGGUGGGGAUGACGUCAAAUCAUCAUGCCCCUUAUGAUUUGGGCUACACACGUGCUACAAUGGCGUAAACAAAGGGAAGCAAGACAGUGAUGUGGAGCAAAUCCCAAAAAUAACGUCCCAGUUCGGACUGUAGUCUGCAACCCGACUACACGAAGCUGGAAUCGCUAGUAAUCGCGAAUCAGAAUGUCGCGGUGAAUACGUUCCCGGGUCUUGUACACACCGCCCGUC